rnacentral:rRNA from 1 species
CUGGCGGUCCGGAAGGCCCUCGGGCCCCCGGACCCUCCGGGUCUCCCGCUCGCGGGAGGCUGCCCGCCGGAGUGCCGAACCUAAACUCUUGCACAUACUAUGUCUCUCUGAGUAACACUUUAAAUAAGUCAAAACUCAAAACAACGGAUCUCUUGGUUCUGGCAUC